rnacentral:lncRNA from 13 species
AUGAGUCUGGAUGUCUGGGCCUUAGCUGGGAGAUGGACGUGGGCCAAGGUUCUUGCAGCAUCAUUUGAGAAAGCAUCAGUCUCAGAUAUAACAUCAUGUCUUCCAUCUCCUGCAGGCUACCGUGAGACAGGUGAGGGAAGGCUUCCUAGACACCUGGGCAGGUGUGUGGAAGAUAGUGCCCUGGGUGUGUGUCCUGGGCAUGUGCCCUGGGUAAAUGUGUGGAAGAAAAGAGACCUUCGGGCCACUAACCCUGAAGGGCCCUUUCCAAGGUGCUGCAGAGGCCUGCAAUGUGUUCCUGUGGCCCAAGUGUUUACUGACAGGUUCUAAAGCAGGAUAUUUCUGCUGUACUCCCCAAAGACCUCUGACUUAGGGGAAAAUGCAGCUGAAGGGUUUGUUUGUACUCCUUUAUGUGAGAACGUGCCUGGAUGCCUUCUGAUUCCUCCAUUCAGCCAGUAUGAGUGAAGAAGAGCGGAGUCACUGAGGCACAGACAAGUUGUCAGGAUUCUCUGUUGGGAGGAGACCAGACAUGGAGGGGACCCAUACGUCUGCAUUCCCAGUCAAGCACUUCAGACCCCCAGGCCCUUGAUAAGGCUGUUAAAGGAACACAUUAAAUACUGCACUUCUCAAGUUGCCUGGGGUGCUUAAAACCCGAGCUGUGUAUUAAAUUCGAUGUGAAUUUCAUAGCUCUCACCACUUUCCCUUCCAUCCUCCUCAUUCUCUUUGGCACUUUCCAAUCACACUGCAUCUGUUCUGCUGUGGAGCUAGAAUCUGCCUUCUUUAGGAGAGCCCUGCUGAUCACCCUCUGUGGUGGGGCUGGGUCCUGGACUCUAAAGGAGCAGAGGAGGGGAAAGGACAUGGCAACCAAGGCUCACCUGGGAAGGCACUGCUGCCCUGGGAAGACACAGGCUGUGGCCCUCUGUGGCAGAGGAGCUGGGCCUCUGGUGGACCGUGAGCCUAUGAGGAGGCUGGCACUGGUGUGGCCAGUGAGUUCCUUUGCAGAUGUACACACUACCUGCCUCUGAGAAGCACCAAGGGCAGAGAGCCUGGGCCUGACUGUCAGUUCCCAGACAUUCCCUCGCCAGAGCCGAAGAGUGUGAUGGGGUGAUCAGUACUGUUAAGAAGGAGGAAAAGUGAAGGGGGUAGAGGGAACACAGAGGUGUGUGUGUGUGCUGCUAUUUUAGACCAGGGAUAGAGCCUCCAAUAAGGUAACAUGUGUCAGCAUCUUGAAGGGCAGGAGGGAGGAGGCAGUGUGGGGCUCUAGAACCCUGGCGGCAAAAGGAACAGAGAAGUCAAGGGCACCCAGGUAGCAGGGAUGGACAGCAGAACA